rnacentral:rRNA from 1 species
GAUGAACGCUGGCGGCGUGCCUAAUACAUGCAAGUCGAGCGAACGGACGAGAAGCUUGCUUCUCUGAUGUUAGCGGCGGACGGGUGAGUAACACGUGGAUAACCUACCUAUAAGACUGGGAUAACUUCGGGAAACCGGAGCUUAUACCGGAUGAUAUUUUGAACCGCAUGGUUCAAAAGUGAAAGACGGUCUUGCUGUCACUUAUAGAUGGAUCCGCGCUGCAUUAGCUAGUUGGUAAGGUAACGGCUUACCAAGGCAACGAUGCAUAGCCGACCUGAGAGGGUGAUCGGCCACACUGGAACUGAGACACGGUCCAGACUCCUACGGGAGGCAGCAGUAGGGAAUCUUCCGCAAUGGGCGAAAGCCUGACGGAGCAACGCCGCGUGAGUGAUGAAGGUCUUCGGAUCGUAAAACUCUGUUAUUAGGGAAGAACAUAUGUGUAAGUAACUGUGCACAUCUUGACGGUACCUAAUCAGAAAGCCACGGCUAACUACGUG